UGCAGCAACGCCGCGUGAGGGACGACGGCCUUCGGGUUGUAAACCUCUUUUAGUAGGGAAGAAGCGAAAGUGACGGUACCUGCAGAAAAAGCACCGGCUAACUACGUGCCAGCAGCCGCGGUAAUACGUAGGGUGCAAGCGUUAUCCGGAAUUAUUGGGCGUAAAGAGCUCGUAGGCGGUUUGUCGCGUCUGCUGUGAAAACUGGAGGCUCAACCUCCAGCCUGCAGUGGGUACGGGCAGACUAGAGUGCGGUAGGGGAGAUUGGAAUUCCUGGUGUAGCGGUGGAAUGCGCAGAUAUCAGGAGGAACACCGAUGGCGAAGGCAGAUCUCUGGGCCGUAACUGACGCUGAGGAGCGAAAGCAUGGGGAGCGAACAGGAUUAGAUACCCUGGUAGUCCAUGCCGUAAACGUUGGGAACUAGAUGUAGGGACCAUUCCACGGUUUCUGUGUCGCAGCUAACGCAUUAAGUUCCCCGCCUGGGGAGUACGGCCGCAAGGCUAAAACUCAAAGGAAUUGACGGGGGCCCGCACAAGCGGCGGAGCAUGCGGAUUAAUUCGAUGCAACGCGAAGAACCUUACCAAGGCUUGACAUAUACGAGAACGGGCUAGAAAUAGUCAACUCUUUG
rnacentral:rRNA from 1 species